AUGAACGCUGGCGGCGUGCCUAAUACAUGCAAGUCGAGCGAACAGACGAGGAGCUUGCUACUCUGACGUUAGCGGCGGACGGGUGAGUAACACGUGGAUAACCUACCUAUAAGACUGGGAUAACUUCGGGAAACCGGAGCUAAUACCGGAUAAUAUAUUGAACCGCAUGGUUCAAUAGUGAAAGACGGUUUUGCUGUCACUUAUAGAUGGAUCCGCGCCGCAUUAGCUAGUUGGUAAGGUAACGGCUUACCAAGGCAACGAUGCGUAGCCGACCUGAGAGGGUGAUCGGCCACACUGGAACUGAGACACGGUCCAGACUCCUACGGGAGGCAGCAGUAGGGAAUCUUCCGCAAUGGGCGAAAGCCUGACGGAGCAACGCCGCGUGAGUGAUGAAGGUCUUCGGAUCGUAAAACUCUGUUAUUAGGGAAGAACAAAUGUGUAAGUAACUAUGCACGUCUUGACGGUACCUAAUCAGAAAGCCACGGCUAACUACGUG
rnacentral:rRNA from 1 species